AUUGAACGCUGGCGGCAGGCCUAACACAUGCAAGUCGAGCGGAUGAGUGGAGCUUGCUCCAUGAUUCAGCGGCGGACGGGUGAGUAAUGCCUAGGAAUCUGCCUGGUAGUGGGGGACAACGUUUCGAAAGGAACGCUAAUACCGCAUACGUCCUACGGGAGAAAGCAGGGGACCUUCGGGCCUUGCGCUAUCAGAUGAGCCUAGGUCGGAUUAGCUAGUUGGUGAGGUAAAGGCUCACCAAGGCGACGAUCCGUAACUGGUCUGAGAGGAUGAUCAGUCACACUGGAACUGCGACACGGUCCAGACUCCUACGGGAGGCAGCAGUGGGGAAUAUUGGACAAUGGGCGAAAGCCUGAUCCAGCCAUGCCGCGUGUGUGAAGAAGGUCUUCGGAUUGUAAAGCACUUUAAGUUGGGAAGAAGGGCAGUAAGUUAAUACCUAGAGAUAGUGGACGUUACUCGCAGAAUAAGCACCGGCUAACUCUGUGCCAGCCGCCGCGGUAAUAC
rnacentral:rRNA from 1 species